UCCCGGAUGGUUCAGUGGUUAGGACUCUGAGCUUCCACUGCAGAGGACUAGGUUCCAUCCCUGAUCAGGGAA
rnacentral:tRNA from 1 species